AUUGAACGCUGGCGGCAUGCCUAACACAUGCAAGUCGAACGGUAGCAGGCCCUUCGGGGUGCUGACGAGUGGCGGACGGGUGAGUAAUGCGCAGGGAUCUGCCUCAUUGAGUGGGAUAGCCUAGGGAAACUUAGGGUAAUACCGCGUAAGCCUGAAAGGGGAAAGCCGGGGACCGCAAGGCCUGGCGCGAUGAGAUGAACCUGCGUCGGAUUAGCUUGUUGGUGAGGUAAAGGCUCACCAAGGCGAUGAUCCGUAGCUGGUCUGAGAGGACGACCAGCCACACUGGGACUGAGACACGGCCCAGACUCCUACGGGAGGCAGCAGUGGGGAAUAUUGGACAAUGGGCGCAAGCCUGAUCCAGCAAUGCCGCGUGUGUGAAGAAGGCCUGCGGGUUGUAAAGCACUUUCGACCGGGACGAAGCGUGAGUGACGGUACCGGUAGAAG
rnacentral:rRNA from 1 species